AGUUUUUUUAAUCAUUAGAAAAUAUAAUCUGCCCAUUGAAAAUAUUUUUUUUUAAAAGGCCGCAGUAUAUUGACUGUGCAAAGGUAGCAUAAUCAUUAGAUUUUUAAUUGGGAUCUUGAAUGAAUGGUUAAAUGAAAUAUAAACUUUUUUAAUUUUAUUAUUUGAAUUUUAUUUAUAAGUAAAAAAUCUUAUUUUAAAAAAUGGGACGAGAAGACCCUAUAGAAUUUUAUAAAUUUGAUUAAUUUAUUAUUAAUAUUUAAUUUAUUAUUUUAAAUUUUAUUUUGUUGGGGAGAUAGUUAAAUUUUUAAAACUUUAAUAAAAAAAAUCAUUUAUUAAUGUUAAAUUGAUCCUUUUAUAUUGAUUAUAAAAUUAAAUUACCUUAGGGAUAACAGCAUAAUAAUUUUAAUAAGUUCUUAUUUUUAAAGUAGUUUAUGACCUCGAUGUUGAAUUAAAAUAAUUAUUUUAUGAAGGGAUAAAAUAAAUAAGUCUGUUCGAC
rnacentral:rRNA from 1 species